rnacentral:rRNA from 1 species
UAGGGAAUCUUCCGCAAUGGACGCAAGUCUGACGGAGCAACGCCGCGUGAGUGAAGAAGGAUUUCGGUUCGUAAAACUCUGUUGUUAGAGAAGAACAGCGCAUAGAGUAACUGUUAUGCGUGUGACGGUAUCUAACCAGAAAGCCACGGCUAACUACGUGCCAGCAGCCGCGGUAAUACGUAGGUGGCAAGCGUUGUCCGGAUUUAUUGGGCGUAAAGCGAGCGCAGGCGGUCAAUUAAGUCUGAUGUGAAAGCCCCCGGCUCAACCGGGGAGGGUCAUUGGAAACUGGUUUACUUGAGUGCAGAAGAGGGGAGUGGAAUUCCAUGUGUAGCGGUGAAAUGCGUAGAUAUAUGGAGGAACACCAGUGGCGAAGGCGACUCUCUGGUCUGUAGCUGUCGCUGAGGCUCGAAAGCGUGGGUAGCAAACAGG